AUUGAACGCUGGCGGCAGGCCUAACACAUGCAAGUCGAACGGUAACAGGAAGAAGCUUGCUUCUUUGCUGACGAGUGGCGGACGGGUGAGUAGUGUCUGGGAAACUGCCUGAUGGAGGGGGAUAACUACUGGAAACGGUAGCUAAUACCGCAUAACGUCGCAAGACCAAAGAGGGGGACCUUCGGGCCUCUUGCCAUCGGAUGUGCCCAGAUGGGAUUAGCUAGUAGGUGGGGUAACGGCUCACCUAGGCGACGAUCCCUAGCUGGUCUGAGAGGAUGACCAGCCACACUGGAACUGAGACACGGUCCAGACUCCUACGGGAGGCAGCAGUGGGGAAUAUUGCACAAUGGGCGCAAGCCUGAUGCAGCCAUGCCGCGUGUAUGAAGAAGGCCUUCGGGUUGUAAAGUACUUUCAGCGGGGAGGAAGGGAGUAAAGUUAAUACCUUGGCUCAUUGACGUUACCCGCAGAAGAAGCACCGGCUAACUCCGUG
rnacentral:rRNA from 1 species